UACGAAGGGGGCGAGCGUUGUUCGGAUUUACUGGGCGUAAAGGGCGCGCAGGCGGCGAUUUUUGUCAGGCGUGAAAGCCCCGGGCUCAACCUGGGAACUGCGCUUGAAACGGGAUUGCUAGAGAUCGGGAGAGGAGAGUGGAAUUCCCAGUGUAGAGGUGAAAUUCGUAGAUAUUGGGAAGAACACCGGUGGCGAAGGCGGCUCUCUGGACCGAUACUGACGCUGAGGAGCGAAAGCGUGGGGAGCGAACAGG
rnacentral:rRNA from 1 species